UCAGUUGUUAAGGUCAGUGGUAGAGCACUUGCCCAGAAUGCAUGAGGCCAUGGGUUUGAUCCCCAGCACUGAA
rnacentral:tRNA from 1 species